rnacentral:tRNA from 1 species
ACAGCUGUGGCCUACUGGUUAGGGCUUCAGGCUUGUAACUCAAGGAUUGCCAGUUCGAUUCCUGACCAGUAGGA